rnacentral:rRNA from 1 species
ACUCUCGUUAAUGGAUAUAUCGGCUCUUGUUACGAUGAAGAAUGUAGUGAAAUGCGAUACUUAGUGUGAAUUGUAGAAUCUUCAUGAAUCAUCAAGUUUUUGAAUGGAAUAUGCAACCAAGGCAUCGGUCAACAACAUGUAUGUCUGGGAAUCUCAUCCCAUUCAAAUGUGCUCCCUGCAAUAUGUUAGGGAGCAGUGAAGCUAAUUUUCCGUGCCCAAUGCAGCGUGGUUGGUUGAAAUGCCUCAAGCAAUGUUUCAUGGCAUGCGUUGGUGAGUGGUGAUCUUGUCCCCUUGGAUGGGUAGUCACAUUAGCUGAUGCGGGCUUUGUGUGGCGUCACUCAAACUUGCUUUUCUCUCUCUUUUCCUCCCAUCGGGUAGAGCGAAUUUAGCUCCAACUUGUGACCUCAACUUAGGCAAGAACACCCACUAAGUUUAAGCAUAUAAUUAACCGAAGGAAAAGAAACUUACAAGGAUUCCCCUAGUAGUGGUGAGCGAACCGAGAAGAGACCAACGUGAAAAUUGGGUGGUAGCAUUGCCUGAAUUGUAGUCCAUAGAAGCAUCCACAGUGGUGGACCUGGGCCAAGUCCCUUGGAAGGGAGUGCCUAAGAGAAUGAAUGCACCGUUGGGUCGGGACCCCGGGAAACGUUCCAUGUGAAAAACACUUAGACAUGGGUUAGUCGAUCCUAAGAGAUGGGGAAGCCUUGUAUCAAGGUGCACUCUGCAUGAGCAUCGAAAGGGAAUCAGGUUAAUAUUCCUGAACCGGAACAUGGUGGCGGGUGACAACAUUAGGAGACUUGGAUAUGUCGUUGAGGACCCCAGGAAGAGUUAUCUCUUCUUUUUAGUAGCUUUCCCAACUUGGAAACGGUUCACCUAGAGAUAGGAUCCAACAGCUGGAAGAGAACCGCACAUCUUGCAUUGUCCAGUGUGCCCUCAGUGGCCCUUGAAAAUCUGGAGUACCGAGUAUCGACCAUGCCCGGUCAUACUCAUAACCGCAUCAGGCCUCCAAGGUGAACAACCUUUGGUCAAUAGAACAAUGUAGGUAAGGGAAGUUGGAAAAAUAGAUCCGUAACUUCUGGAAAAGGAUUGGAUUUGAGGGAUGGGCCUAGAGGUCUAUGCCCUUAACUCAUGGGUUUUCAACUAUUUUCCUGAGCUGCUCUGGCAAUGAGGUCAAGCAAUCGCGUGAUGAUUGGGCUAUGGGUGUAGAAUGCUCGCUAUUGAGGGCUUUUCCCUAGGCGGCGAACAAUCGACUCAGAACUGGUAUUGACAAGGGGAAUAUGAAUGUUUAAUUAAAACAAAGCAUUGUGAAAGUCCAUGUGGAUGCUAAUGCAAUGUCAUUUCUACCCAGUGCUCUGAAUGUCUAAGUGAAGAAAUUCACCAAGGGUGGGUAAACGAUGGGAGUAGCUAUGACUCUCUUAAGGUAGCCAUAUACCUCAUCAUCUAAUUAGUGAUGCGCAUGAAUGGAUUAACUAGAUUCCCACUAUCCCUAUCUACUAUUUAGCGAAAUCAUAGCCAAGGUAACGGGCUUGGAAAAAUCAAUGGGGAAAGAAGACCCUGUUGAGCUUUACUCUAGUCCGACUUUGUGAAAUGACUUGAGAGGUGUAGAAUAAGUGGGAGACGUUUUUCAGCGCAAGUGAAAUUCUGCUACUUUUAACAUUAUUUAACUUAUUCCAUGGGGCAGAGAUAGGACACUACCCCUAUUUUUGGCCUUAAGGGACAUUUUGGUGGGUCGAUCUGAGCAGAAGACAUUGUUAGGUGGGGAGUUUGGUUGGGGCAGCACAUCUAUUAAAAGAUAAAAUAGGUGUCCUAAGAUGAGUUCUGUUAGCGCUUGGAAUUCACCUAGGCUGAGAUAGACAAACUCUCAAGGCUACAUCAAACCAUUUCACCUCGUAGCUAGCCCUACGAGGUAUGAGAAGGCUCUCUCGGGUCAAAACUCGAUGGAUUUUGUCAAUAGGAUGAGUUGACCAAUUAGGAACAAGGAUUUUAGGCUAGUAAACUGAUAUUGGGGAUUGGUUUUAGAGUUUUUGGGUUUUUGGUGGCAAUUGGAGGGAGUGCAAUUCAGGGUGCGGGGAUUGAGCUCAGUUUUU